UCCACUGUAUGAAGAUGCUCCCCGAAUGACCACCGAGAGCUGUGUUCAUCUAUGAGCUUGUAACUGGAAUAGUUUGAUACUAUAUAUCAAUUUAAGAAAAUAGUAGUUAUGGUUCACUCCCAGGGCUUAUGAGCCUCUCUGCCAUGGUUUCCUGACCAGACUUACAAUGCCAGGCAAAAGUUUCCUCUUGUAGUGCAGACCUUGAAUCCACCCAGAAAGUGAUUGGUGAUCCUCAUUACAUUCCUGCCAUUUAUGGCGCACCCAUGAGUACAUCUUGCCAGGGCUUUUGUUAUGUAGCCCUGAGUAGUCACAGUGGAGUGAGAAUAGUCUGCAUAGCAUCUUCUAGCAUCAUAAAGGGUAGCUAGCAGGGGUGGAAGCUUCCUGCUAAGUACUGUGCAGGCAGGUCUGUGUGAUUUCUUCAAGUUCUUUGACCUACUUGUGUGGUGUCAUCAGCUAUAGGAUCUUACCAUCACAUUCUGAUGCAAUGAGCAUCAGAGCAAUGAGCAAUGAGAAUUGACAACUCUGGUAUCAUCUCUGUGACAUCCUCGACCAACAACUUGAGAGCAAGGUGUCCUACAUCUAGCUCUGGACUUUUUGAGAACUUGUAGCCAAUGGAAGGAGAAUUAACCACCUUGUAACGUUCGUUGUAAGUUGGCAAGUAGCUUUUCAUAUGGCUUUUGUAUUUUAAUGUUCGUGAACCUUUUACCUACUUGUAUGUCUGUGUGAGGCUGUCAGUAGUCCUGGAACUGAAGUUACAAGCAGGAGUGAGUUACCAUGGGCGAGUAGGUGCUGGGAAUUGAACCCAGGACCUCUGGAAGAGCAGCCUGUGCCCUUAACUGUCCGUCUCUCUGGCCCUUCAUAUGGCUUUUUCAAAUAUCCUUAGUGUUAGUUGGUUCUUCUUCAUCCUCUUCCCUGCAAUCCUAAAGAUUUUAAACCAGUGUUUCAUUAAUGCAUUAUUUAACUAUUGAUCUAAAUUGGUAGAAAAGAUUAAAAAAAAAGCAUGGUUUACAAAAUUAUAUUUGUAAUUUGAAGAAGGAAUUCUAAAGGCGAUUAUGUUCAAAACGAACAUGGGGAAAUCCUAAAAAGGAUCUGGCCUCCGCCCCCUUGUUGGAACACCUUACCUGUGUUCUGAUUUUCUUCUUUUGUUUAUUUCUUUGUUUAAGGGUGUCUGCAAUUCCUUUUUGUCCACAGUUGAACACUUUCCAGGCCGUUCUGGCAUCUGAUGAAUGUGAUUCCUAUGCCCUCUUUCUCUAUCCUCCCAAUGUUCUUCAGUUUUUGGAACUCACCCCAAAGAAUCCUACAGUGUCCAGCCGCAGCUUCCUGCUAAGGUGGGAUUCUGCCAAGGGGAAGCAAAUGAUGUGAAGAGAAAAGCCCUGUAUUUCAGCCUGACUAACAGUGAGCAGUCGGUGAAGAAUCUCUACCAGAUGAGCACCUGGCUGCCUUGUUCCAGAAGCUGGAGGAAUCGGCUUGUUCUGUGAACUGCAUAGUUCUCCUAAGCAAGGAGGUGGACUUCAUCCUCCUUACCACUUUCACCCUUGCCUACCCCAGGGACUGUCUGACAAGACCUAAUAUCAGAUUCAUCAGUGAGUAAGAAUCCCGAUUCUACGCAAAGAAAUUGAAUUGAUUCUGUUUUUUUCAAGAGAUGAAAUUGCUUCUUGUGGCUAUUAAGGCAGGUCCAUUAAUGAACAUAAGAGGAAGGACCAUGGAAAGGAGUAUAUCUCUUACAUAUUCACAGAAGAUUAUGCCAAGCAGGAAUACUGCGUAUAAGACCUAAAUUUCAUUGGAAGAACCUGACUGAGGAAGUGAAAAGGAAAGGAUGGGAAAUAGGAAAACAUUUGAAAAUAAGGCUGUUGACAGGCUGGAGAAGAAGGAGGAGAUUGAAAAUUUAAAUUGUGCUACCUGAAACUGUGUAUUUUCAUGGAUACAAAUAUGUCUUUGCCUAUUUAAAAACUACUAGUUACUAUGAAGUAGGAUUUAUCCAUGUCAGUUAUGGUACAAUAUGCUUUAGGAAUUUAAUUCCUGGGGACUUAAAUUGAAAGUUAGUGGUAUGGUUAUUUAAAAACUCAUUAAAAACAAUUUAAAGAGAUAAUUUCACACUGUAAUUGUGCACUUUUCUCCAUUUCCAUUGCUUAUAUAGAUAUGUAUUACGUCUUACCAUCUUUUAAAUGAUGUUUAGUUACUUAUAAUAGUUUUUCUUUAUGUGAGCAUAGUCACAAAUACAUAUGAUAGUCUAAAAUAAUACAAAGAAUAGUGUACUCUAACUUACUUAUCUGUUUGUAAAUACUCAUUUGUGUGUGUAUGUGUUUAUGUAUAUAUGUGUAUAUAUAUGUAUAUAUAUGUAUAUGUAUGAGUAUAUAUGUAUACUAGAUAAGAUGGAUGAAGUUAUAAAAUGCAUCUUGAAAGGAACCGGAUAUAGAUCUCUCCUGAGAGACACAUCCAGAGCAUGUCCAAUACAGAAGUCAAUGCUAUCAGCAAACCACUGAUCUGAGAACAACACCCUUGGAGGGAAUUAGAAAAAAUAUUGAAACAGUUGAAGGAGGAUGCAACCCCAUCAAAACAACAAUGCUAACCAAACAGAGCUUCCAGGGCCUAAACCACUUCCGAAAGACUAUACAUGGAAUAAUCCAGGACUCCAACCGCAUAUAUAGCAGAGAAUAGACUUGUUGGGGCACCAGGGGAAGGGGAAGCCCCUGGUCUUGCCAAGGUUUGACCACCAGUGCAGGGGAAUAUGGGGGAGGGGGGAUAAACUGGAUGUAUAGGGGGAAUACCUGUAUAGGGGAGGGGGAUGGGAGGGAAUGGGGGCUUAUAUACAGGAAAUUGGGAAGGGGAAUAUUGUUUGAAAUGUAAGUAAAGAAAUAUAUCUAAUAAAAAAUUUUAAAAAUUAAAA